UUCUUGGUCAUUUAGAGGAAGUAAAAGUCGUAACAAGGUUUCCGUAGGUGAACCUGCGGAAGGAUCAUUACAGUAUGAUUAAGGGGGGGUUGGAUGCUGGCCUGUGAGGGCAUGUGCGCGCUCCCCUGUUUGUCAAUACAUACACCUGUGCACCUAUGGCGAGUGCCUCCCGUUUGGAGCCGUUCGAUGUUGAACCCAUUCUUUUUGGGGGAGGCUUGGACCGGGGCGCUCCCUCUUUUCUUGUUACCCAUCUCAGCCUGUUAGAACGCAUGUCUAAGCUUUACGGAGCUGAAAAAAUAAAUAUAACUUUCAACAACGGAUCUCUUGGCUUUCGCAUCGAUGAAGAACGCCGCGAAAGUGCGAAACGUAAUGUGAAUUGCAGAAUUCAGUGAAUCAUCGAAUCUUUGAACGCAUCUUGCGCUCCUUGGUAUUCCGAGGAGCAUGCCUGUUUGAGUGUCGUGAAACCCUCUCGAUCUUCUCUCCUUUUCUUGAGGGAGUGGGGGUUGGAUUUGGACGCUUGCGGCGGUCUCUUUUGGCCGUCGCUCGUCUUUAAAUGUAUUAGCUUGGCCUCUGGAGUCGGUCCAACGACGGUGUGAUAAUUAAACGUCUCUGCGCCGUUCGGUCCGAUUCUGAUACGAGGUGGCUUCUAAUCGAUCUUCUUUGCAAUCUGACCUCAAAUCAGGUAGGACUACCCGCUGAACUUAAGCAUAUCAAUAAGNCGGAGGAA
rnacentral:rRNA from 1 species